GCCUACGGGGGGCAGCAGUGAGGAAUAUUGGUCAAUGGGCGAGAGCCUGAACCAGCCAAGUCGCGUGAGGGAUGACUGCCCUAGGGGUUGUAAACCUCUUUUGUAUGGGGGGAAUAAGCUUUACGAGUAGAGUGAUGACAGUACCAUACGAAUAAGCAUCGGCUAACUCCGUGCCAGCAGCCGCGGUAAUACGGAGGAUGCGAGCGUUAUCCGGAUUUAUUGGGUUUAAAGGGUGCGUAGGCGGCAUUAUAAGUUAGAGGUGAAAUCUCGGGGCUCAACUCCGAAAUUGCCUCUAAUACUGUAGG
rnacentral:rRNA from 1 species